rnacentral:rRNA from 1 species
AUUGAACGCUGGCGGCAUGCUUUACACAUGCAAGUCGAACGGCAGCACGGGGGCAACCCUGGUGGCGAGUGGCGAACGGGUGAGUAAUGCAUCGGAACGUACCCAGUAGUGGGGGGAUAACGCGUCGAAAGAUGUGCUAAUACCGCAUGCGCACUACGGUGGAAAGCGGGGGACCUAAGGGAAACUGAGGGCCUCGCGCUAUUGGAGCGGCCGAUGUCCGAUUAGCUAGUUGGUGGGGUAAUGGCCUACCAAGGCGACGAUCGGUAGCUGGUCUGAGAGGAUGAUCAGCCACACUGGGACUGAGACACGGCCCAGACUCCUACGGGUGGCUG